GCGGCGGACGGGUGAGUAACGCAUAGGAAUCUACCCAGUCGUGGGGGAUAACCUGAGGAAACUCAGGCUAUACCGCAUACGUCCUACGGGAGAAAGCGGGGGCUCUUCGGACCUCGCGCGAUUGGAUGAGCCUAUGUCGGAUUAGCUAGUUGGUAAGGUAACGGCUUACCAAGGCAACGAUCCGUAGCUGGUCUGAGAGGAUGAUCAGCCACACCGGGACUGAGACACGGCCCGGACUCCUACGGGAGGCAGCAGUGGGGAAUAUUGGACAAUGGGCGAAAGCCUGAUCCAGCCAUGCCGCGUGUGUGAAGAAGGCUUUCGGGUUGUAAAGCACUUUCAGCGAGGAAGAAAGCGUGCCGUUUAAUACACGGUACGGACGACAUCACUCGCAGAAGAAGCACCGGCUA
rnacentral:rRNA from 1 species